UGAAAAUUAGUAGUAUAUGGCCAGCUAGCGUGGAGAUCGAAAUUACGAAUUUAUUGUAAAGGCUGUAAAACGUUUAAAUAACGGAUUAAAACUCCUCUCCUAGCGACGAAGACGACGCCUGUGGUUAAGAAAUUUUGGUUGUUGGUGCCGUCUGUUUCUGUAUUUUAUUUGGGUCAUUUUAUCACGUCUCCAAGUGUUAGGGAUUUCGGCAUUGGAGGCGUUUUGUCCGGAGGUAGCAAAGGUUGUCCACGCCCGAGGUGUUUUUGCUGUUGGGUUAUUUUUUUUUAUUGUAAGAAGAGUUUGCCUACUGUUUGACGCGAGUCGUCCCAUGAUUAUGUAGAUAUCCAGUGGAAAGCAGAUUUGGCUCGUUCGAAUGAUUACUCCUGCUGCAGUUACUACACAGCUAAGUACCACAACACCCUUUUUUUUUGUUUGAGGCAACUUAUGCCACACUUCAUCGUUUCUUCGAUCAAUAUUACCCACACGUUAUUACAUUUGCUAAGAAGAGUGUAAAUAGUUUUAAAUUUUAGUAUAAGGUUAGUGUCAUAAAAAUAUCAGUAGUAUCUAAUAAUAAAGGGGUAUCUAUUUAUGCUUAAGUAAACUUCUGUAUCGUCUCGGUCGAAUAAGGCCAUAAUGUUGUCAUUGUUGUUAGUUUUAAGAUAACUGGUAUAACUAUUCAUUGUUUUUUUUUAUUGCCGCCAAUAAAGCUAUGAUGACUAUUUAGUGGUUUCAUCAUUGUGGUUAUUUCACGAA